CUUCAGGGAAGAAACUUCACAAAGUACAGUGAGAUCCUAACCCAGUUCUGCUUCUUCGAGUGGAAAAAAGAACUCGAGGGCUUAUGCCAGGGCUCUGCCAAGAGCUCCUCAGAAAGGUUAACAGAAAUGAGGCAAUCUCCAGUCCUCUCGGAGGUCUGCACACUCCGUGCCACCACGCUCCAGCUUUCGUACUUCCUUGGCCUCCCGAGCGCUCUUGCAGCUGUGCGAUGUCUCCGUUCCUGUUUUCUGCUGGGUCUGGAUCAGGCUCAGCUGUUAAUGCUCUGACACCUCGUCAAGGCAGGGUCUUGCUAAGUUGCUCGGGCUGGGCUUGAAUUCGUGUUCCUCCUGCCUCAGCCUCCAGGAGCACUUGGACUGCAGAUGUACACCGCCAUGCCUUGCUAGCUUAUGCUUCUUAAAAUAAUAAAACCAAAAUUUGAA